GCUAAAAUAGCUCAGUUGGGAGACCGUUAGACUGAAGAUCUGAAGGUCCCUGGUUCAAUGCUGGGUUUCUGCU